CCUGGUAGCUCAGUCAGUAAAGAAUCUGCCUGCAAUGCAGGAGACCUGGGUUCGAUCCCUGGACCAGGA
rnacentral:tRNA from 1 species